rnacentral:rRNA from 1 species
AACGAACGCUGGCGGCGUGUUUAAGACAUGCAAGUCGCACGGGAUAAGACAUGUAGUAAUACUUGUUUUAUUUAGUGGCGCACGGGUGAGUAACACGUGAAUUACAUGCCCUAUAGUGGGGAAUAGCCCAGGGAAACUUGGAUUAAUACCCCAUGGUAUCGAAAGAUUAAAGGUGGCCGCAAGGCUGUCGCUAUAGGAUUUGUUCGCGCCCUAUCAGCUUGUUGGUGAGGUAACGGCUCACCAAGGCAAUGACGGGUACCUGGUCUGAGAGGACGAUCAGGCACACUGGAACUGAGACACGGUCCAGACACCUACGGGUGGCAGCAGUCGAGAAUAAUUCACAAUGGGGGCAACCCUGAUGGUGCAACGCCGCGUGGAGGAUGACGGUCUUCGGAUUGUAAACUCCUGUCAUCUGGGAGAAAGACCUGACGGUAAAUAGCCGGCAGGGUUGAUAGUACCUGAAGAGGAAGGGACGGCUAACUUCGUGCCAGCAGCCGCCGUAA